rnacentral:lncRNA from 1 species
UCUCCACUAUCUCAUCAGUCUCAACAGUUACUAUGUAUAAUCUCUUCAUUUUACAAGUCACAGCAGCACAUCAUAUUCACACUCAAACACCCAAUACAACAUCAUCAUAUAUAUGCAUAUGGACUCUCCUAAUAACCUAUAUGAUUGUGGUACCACACCUAUCGUCAUAAUUUGCCAGAGGUAUGUUACUAGACUUUCAUCGUCAUAAUUUGCCAGAGAUAUGUUACUGAACUUUCAUCGUCAUUUCGUCAUCAUGAUUCCUAGACACGACUCUAUAAGCAUGCAUGAGACAGACUCUUCAAGUAUUAAAAGAUCAUAACAUCAUC